rnacentral:rRNA from 1 species
CUAAGUUUGAUGGCGACCGGCGCACGGGUGAGUAACACGUAUCCAACCUGCCGAUAACUCCGGAAUAGCCUUUCGAAAGAAAGAUUAAUACCCGAUGGCAUAGUUCUUCCGCAUGGUGGAACUAUUAAAGAAUUUCGGUCAUCGAUGGGGAUGCGUUCCAUUAGGUUGUUGGCGGGGUAACGGCCCACCAAGCCUUCGAUGGAUAGGGGUUCUGAGAGGAAGGUCCCCCACAUUGGAACUGAGACACGGUCCAAACUCCUACGGGAGGCAGCAUG